rnacentral:rRNA from 1 species
CUAAAAUUUAUAUAAAAUAUUUUGAUGAAUAUCUAAUAUAAUAUUAACAUAAUUCAUAUCUACUAUUUUUUUUUAGUAUAUGAAAUUUUACUUUGAGAAAAUUAGAGUGCUUAAAGCAGGCAUAUGCCUUGAAUACUCCAGCAUGGAAUAAUAUUAAAGAUUUUUAUCUUUUUUAUUGGUUCUAAGAUAAGAAUAAUGAUUAAUAGGGACAGUUGGGGGCAUUUGUAUUUAACAGUCAGAGGUGAAAUUCUUAGAUUUGUUAAAGACAAACUAAUGCGAAAGCAUUUGCCAAGGAUGUUUUCAUUAAUCAAGAACGAAAGUUAGGGGAUCGAAGACGAUCAGAUACCGUUCGUAGUCUUAACCAUAAAUCUAUGCCCAUCUACGAGAUUGGAGGUUGUU